UCCGGUUUGGCACCGGCAGUCUCUCAUGAGUCCCCGACAUGACUCGCUGGCAACUGGGAGCGAGGGUUGCGCUCGUUGCGGGACUUAACCCAACAUCUCACGACACGAGCUGACGACAGCCAUGCAGCACCUGUGUCCUAGUUCUCUUUCGAGCACUCCCACAUCUCUGCAGGAUUCUAGGCAUGUCAAGGGUAGGUAAGGUUUUUCGCGUUGCAUCGAAUUAAACCACAUACUCCACCGCUUGUGCGGGCCCCCGUCAAUUCCUUUGAGUUUCAGUCUUGCGACCGUACUCCCCAGGCGGCGAACUUAACGCGUUAGCUUCGACACUGAGAGCCUGAUUGCUCCCAACGUCCAGUUCGCAUCGUUUAGGGCGUGGACUAC
rnacentral:misc_RNA from 1 species